GGCUUAUGAGACCUCUUCUAACCCUCAAGUCCAUGUCAAUUAAUUACCUGACACAACCCCAGGUCAUCAAUAGGUUGAGGGGAUAGGCGAUUGUACGGUCAAAUAUCAUGGCACGUCAACUAAUGGCACAUGCUAAUAGCCCAAAACGAUGAUGAUCACCCCACUACCUACAAAACAAUCAUCAUUACAAAGAAAGUCAAAAUGUUUAGUUAACACUACAGUAACACUCUCUUCACUAUAAAAACCCUUCAAAAACACAAAUAAGGUACACAGAGAUACGCCGACUCACUCUAUCUCACUAAAGUCGCUUGAACUAUCUUAUACUUGACUUAAGCUUCGGAGGGACGUGCUUGAACCACCUAUCCGAACAUCCUUUGUGUAGGAAUUGGGGUAGAUACUCUGAGAGGCAUGCAAAGGGAAGAAGACUGUCCAAUCUCCAUUGAGCAGGACGAAUCCGACUCCAAUUGGCUCCACAUCAACACAUAGAGCGGGCAUGCUAUGAGCUCCAUAUCAGUUGGGUAAGGAGAUGCAAUCAUAGUAUGGACUUGUUUAUCCAUUAUUACCUAUGAGGCAAUAAUAAUCAAUUUUAAUUUAAUUUAACAAUAACAAUUAAUUAUACAUUGUACUGAAUUAAUUAUACAUUGUGCUCAACUUCACUUAGAGCUGAGCAAGUGAUAAAAUAGAUAGCAUAUUGAAACCUAAAAUGGUAGUACUGUUAUGUAUCAUACUCUACUCCUCAUAAGGCCCUCUUCACUACAGAA
rnacentral:lncRNA from 1 species